GACAUGUUUUCUCUUUCGUAGAGAAAAUAAAGAGCCUGAACUUCACCAUUUAUCUCACAUGUUAUAAUUUACUCCUGCUGUUCUUGUUUUUCUCAAGCAGGGCGAAAGAAAAUGGCAAGGAGUUACUCUUUAUGGCUCUGCGUCUUCCUGUCCAGUUUCCCGUUCAUUUGUGGCGGACCAUUCAAAGAACACGUUGCACAGGUUCAGUCAGAAAAAGACAACGGAUUGAAGAGUGGAGAGGUCGCUGUCAAUCAUCAGGAUUCCCGCUUUAAUAACAAGCCUGUGAAGAAAUCUUUCAAUUAUGGUACAGGGUACGGACAUUACCACCAUCCUGACGAAGAUCUGGAGACAUCUCAAUAUCUUACUGAUCUCGAACAAUUUUACAAUUAUUGGUUUGGAGGUUAACUCACUUUUACCGAGAAGUUGUUUAUUAGUUGGUGUAUUUAUCACGUAAAGGCCUAAGUAUUCAGGGUUCCUUGGACUUUGACAUCAACGUAGCAGCAGAGAAAGAAGGCCUGACGUAAAAUUCGCCUUCAUCUUAUUGUUUCAUGUUACUGUAAAACGUUAGUAUGAAAUAAACUCUCUUUCUACGCUGGA